AUUUUAGCAGAACCAGAGUCUGUUACCAAACUGGGCUAAAACCUCCUGUAUUUUCCCACACCAUGUUUGGCUGGAAUCUUGUGCCCUGUCAUGGAUGGAUGGUGGUCGUAAAGUCAUAAAGUUGUUAUCUCCCAGUCCUCACGCAGAUCUUGCUGGGUGCUGGGGUCCCUUCUCUCGUUUUGUCCAUCAGGGGAUCAAGGUGCUCUGUAAGGUUUGUCUGUUACAUCAGGGGAUCUAGGAGUAAGGUUUGUCUGUUACAUCAGGGGGUCUAGGUGUAAGGUUUGUCUGUUACAUGAGCUGGGGGCUGUGUGCGGAGCAGGAGUUCAGUGGCUGGGGGGGGGGGGGUGACCCUUCCUUAGAGCAUAGCGCUGGUACCAUUGUUCUUUUUUUUCAAACUUGUUUUCUUUUUCUUUAGAAUUAUGAAAGCUUCCUGAACUCUGGUCAAUUUUGUAAAGGGACUGUUUGCUCUUGCAGAUCAAACUAUUCCAAGGUGACACUAUUCUGACAGUCCCAGCCAAAGGUUUUAUGUGUGUAAAUGGUGGUAUGUGACGUCAGCUAUACUGUAGUUUCAUGGGUCUCAAGGUUCCGCUACUUAUGGGAUUUCCGCUACUGCCAUUUCCUCCGCUACCCAGUUAUGCGCCACCACUCCCUGUACAUAAUCAAGAUUGUAAAUAGUUGGAAGUGACUCUUUGACUUAUUAUCUUCCAAAGCCUCAAACUGAUAUGAAAUAAGCUUGAUUUGAUAAAUUGAUGGCUUAUACAGGGUUUCUGGGGUCUCCUGGAAUUCAAGAAGGAGUCCUUGAAAACUCCUGGAAUUUGCAUGCAAGGAAAAAUCUCCUUGAAAACUCCUGGAAUUUCGGCGGAUCGGACAUUAAAAAAAUUUUGGUUGGAAAAUCGAAACUAAAUUUACUUUUGGUGAGUAAGUGUAGGCCUAUUGGAAAUGGGCUUUCGGCAUGCUUUUCUUGACCAAAUGUCCGUGAAUUAAAAAAGAUUGUCCGAACCUCCUUGAAAUUGGUGGGGAGUUCCUGGCAGGCUUCUAUUUCAGCAUUCUAGGAUUAAACGGUACAAUAAUAGUGGGUGUUUUGUGGAAAUGAUGCGGAGUUGAGACCCAUGAGUGUCUAAGUUCUUCAGUUAUUUCCUUUCGUAUACAAAGAAAAUGUUUGUGUGUGAAGUAAAAGAGCUUAAGAAGGUCAGGACUGUGGACUUGAGCCAUGUCUACAAACUAGUUGUUGGAGCUUGAGUAAUGGGAAGUCCUGAAGUUACUAAUGAGAUAGCCAAGCAAGAAGGAAAAGAAAAGCCGGAGGUGGCUGUGUGUGAGUGUGUACAGAAGUAAGAUUGCUACAGAUCUCUACAACAAACUUACACCUGGGUGUGCGCUGACAGUAGAACUAGUUUUACUUACACUAUCACUUUCCCAAGUGCCAAGCAACUUUUUACCCUGAGGUCAAGGUGAAACAACAACAGCUUUUUUAUUUAUCUCGCACGUCCCCGUGGUAGAAAAAGAUGUGUUUUACAUUCUAUAAGGAACCGUUUGUGUGGGCGUUUGAAGCAAGCAUUAUAUUACUAUGAAUAGUCAUCAUAUAACGUCACGUAAAGGAUCUCUACUUCUACCAAACCUAUACACAAAUAACAAUCUUGAGCUACUUAAAGCCAUAGUAGAUGAGUAGUACGUGUAUAUAUUAAGACUAUAUUAUUUGAGUUUUAAAUUGAAUAUAUAUGGCAAUAAAGUGUGUACAUGCAAAAUAAUAAUAGUGCAUGAAUUUAUUUCUUUUUAUUUUGUAUUAUAUCAAAUGAUUGAUGUAUUUUAAAAAUCAAUUUUAUUCAUUUCACCUCAAGUCUUUAGUUGUGAAAUGUUGGAUCUAUGGGUGUCAGUGUCAGUUUAGGUUAUGAACAUUUUGUACGUCGUUGUGUUCCGUUCCUGCCAUUGGUCUGUGCUCCGUGUCCCCCCCCCGGGGCAGCGCGCCGUUUGUUGGAGUUGAUCAUUCCAUGGAAGGAAGAGAUUUGUGCGGCAAAGUUCCCAAUGAUGAGUGUCAAGUUUUGCCAGCACUAGAAGUUCCAGUGUUACUGCUUGACUCAUUCCCCAGAUGUACAUGUUCACUUGUUCCUCGUUUCCUCUCCUGCUGCUAGUGGUCAUACUACACCAGGUACUCCAGUACUCACAGCACAGGGUACUUUUCUAGCUGUGAGAAUGUACUGUCAGGUACUCUCAGCACAGGGUACUUUUCUAGCUGUGAGAAUGUACUGUCAGGUACUCUCAGCACAGGGUACUUUUCUAGCUGAGAGAAUGUACUGUCAUGUUUGAUUGUUGUAAAUCUAUAAAUAGCAGUCUGCUGAAAUCAGGGGAUGAUAUAAGCAAUUUCAAAAUUCAUUGCAAUCAGGAGUUGCGUCUUAUCUUCAUGUUUUGUAUGAAAAAAGGAAAGUUUUGUACUGUAAAUAGUUAUCUUGCACCUACUCAAAAACGCUGUGUGUUGACAAAAAAAGAAAUUUCUGAGUGUUUGCAACAGUUUCUUUUUCAAUCAAAUCACGAGCACCCUGCUUUUCAUUUUCUUUCACCUUUUCUGCCAGACAGUGGGCUACUUUUUGCCCGGAGCAACAGUUCCCCAGCCACUGCUGCUCCCUGGACACUUGAUGGAAUGUGUUUUGUUGAAUGUGCUGCAUUAUCUCCCACUUGUCCGCCCCUCUGGUCAACACCAACCGUUUGGAGGAUUUUAAGGCAGCAAUUUCUUGUACAAUUUCUUUUCUGUCUGUCCAUUGUUUAUAACGUAUAACAUAAUAAGUAUAUUAUAUUCAAAAUAAAUUACGGCGGCAAAAUUAAGUUGAGGAAUGGUGGGAAUGUUCUUAACUGUGAAAAGUUCAAUCAUUUUUUGUCUUAUCCCUGUGGCUUAAUAAAAGGCUUACCUUGUUGUUAUAAAAAUAAAGCUCUUCUUGUCUACUGUUUCUUUGAGAGAUAAGUCUGCUAAUGUUUCUUGGAGAGAUACGUCUGGUAAUGUUUCUUGGAGAGAUACGUCUGGUCAAAUGUCACUCAAAAACAAAGACAGUGUUUCAUAAAUAAGAAUGAUAUUAUAUUGUCUUUAAGAUUUAAGAAUAGCAUCGUCCAAAGUGUCUUGAUUGUUGAAGGGAGAUCUUCCUGUGUUGAUGCAACAAGUGUUUCCCUUUUCUUUAUAACUGAGGUCAUGAGAAGAGAUACCUCGGUCGUAUUUGUGGAUUUUGUGACAUCUUUGAGCGUCAAUGUGCAGCUGUUAUGUGGUUGUGUGCGCGCCCGCGCGCUUGUUCUUGCCGGGAUAUAGCACAGACAGAUGCAGCACAAAAACCUGGCAACUUCACGCUGUUACAAAGAUACACGGUAGUUGUUACAUGUCAUAGUUGACGCGUGUAGCUUCUUUGUCAGGGCAGCAGCCGUGUUGUGUACAUGUGUGUCAUUACCACCUCACACUUACCACCUCACACCUACCCACUGUGCAUCUCGGUUCAUUGGUCGGUUGAUUGUCUUGUAUUGUCCAACAUCAGCACAGAUUAUGCCGGCAGUUAUCAUUGUGAGAUUGGAGAAAGUAGAAUCAAUAACAUAUAGAUAUAGAUUGUUGUCAAAGGAGAAAGGUGGCUGUGUGUGUCAGGAACACCUGUACUUGUGUUUGGUGGGAGACAGGUGGCUGUGUGUGUCAGGAACACCUGUACUUGUGUUUGGUGGGAGAAAGGUGGCUGUGUGUGUGUGUAAGGAACACCUGUACUUGUGUUUGGUGGGAGAAAGGUGGCUGUGUGUGUCAGGAACACCUGUACUUGUGUUUGGUCAUGCGAACACUCCUACAUUGCUUCUCUCCGCCACACACUGUACUGUUUAGUAAGAAAAAACUGUUGUACUAAAUAACUAUGUUGUCCAUAUUCAAGUUGAGACCUGAAUGAAAGACUUACAAAUAAGUAGUCACAUUCUUAGAGAGAGAGACGGAUACACUCAGUGGUCAUGCAAAAAUGUGUACAUUUGGACAAAUCAUUUUUAUUAUAAUCUUGUAUAGCUUGGGCUGGUAAUUUUUAAUGUGUUUUGUUUCUACUGUUGUCUUUUUCGUUGAAAUGAGCGGCUCAAAUAUUGAAUUGGUUACACUUUUGCUCAUUCUUCAAAAUGAAGUUCCCCGUUGUGUAUUAUGUUGUGUGGGUACACAGUCAAAUCUGGUGCUCUGGCUUGUCGUAAACCCUGUGUCCUGAAUAUUGGACACUUUGUCCUACACCCUGUGUCCUAAAUGUUGGACAAUUUUGUCCUACACCCUGUGUCCUGAAUAUUGGACAAUUUUGUCCUACACCCUGUGUCCUGAAUGUUGGACACUUGUCCUACACCCUGUGUCCUGAAUGUUGGACACUUGUCCUACACCCUGUGUCCUGAAUGUUGGACACUUGUCCUACACCCUGUGUUCUGAAUGUUGGACACUUUUGGUGUUUUUGUCAAGACACAUUUUAUGAUUCACAAAGGAGUGAGGAAAGUAGAAACCUGUGUGGUCUGACAUGUUCUGUUUUGAUUUACUUCAUGUUAUGUUCUCUACAGUGGUUCCAGGCUGGAAGAAGAGAUAUAUAUAUAUUCUCCCUUUUCAAUUCUCUCCUAGCCGUUUCUGCUGUCAAUGGACCCAUAGAGUUCCCUGAAAUGACAAGUCUGGAAAUGUUGGCCACUGGUUUGCCUCCCUGCCUGGGGAUGACCGACAGUCUUGUGGAACUUUUUGUAUCUGUAACUUGUGUCGGGUAACCCUUGCUCAUUUGUUCCUGCUCUGUGGGCUCACAAGAAAUAUAGGAAGGGUUCCCGUAUAGGAAUCUGCUCUCACAAGAAAAUAUAGGAAGGGUUCCCGUAUAGGAAUCUGCUCUCACAAGGAAAUAUAGGAAGGGUUCCCGUAUAGGAAUCUGCUCUCA